rnacentral:misc_RNA from 1 species
UUUCCGUAGGUGAACCUGCGGAAGGAUCAUUACCGAGUUAGGGUUGCAAUCUCUGCGCCCGACCUCCCAACCCUUUGUCUACCUGACCUUAUGUUGCUUCGGCAGGCCCGCCGCCCCGUAACACGGGCGGCCGCCGGGGGCUGUCACAGCCCCGGGUCCGCGCCUGUCGACGGCCCUCAUACAAAACUCUUGUUAAAACCAUGUCGUCUGAGUUGUCUAUGAAAAUAAACACAAAACUUUCAACAACGGAUCUCUUGGUUCUGGCAUCGAUGAAGAACGCAGC